rnacentral:rRNA from 1 species
CGUGCAGGUGGUUCGGUAAGUUGGAUGUGAAAGCUCCUGGCUUAACUGGGAGAGGUCGUUCAAUACUACCGGGCUUGAGUGUGGAAGAGGGAAGUGGAAUUCCGGGUGUAGUGGUGAAAUGCGUAGAUAUCCGGAGGAACACCAGUGGCGAAAGCGGCUUCCUGGUCCAUUACUGACACUCAGAUGCGAAAGCUAGGGGAGCGAACGGGAUUAGAGACCCCGGUAGUCCUAGCUGUAAACGAUGCGAACUUGGCGUCGGUGGGUUCAAAUCCAUCGGUGCCGAAGCUAACGCGAUAAGUUCGCCGCCUGGGGACUACGGCCGCAAGGUUAAA